UCCGGCUUGUCACCGGCAGUUUCCCCAAGAUGUCAAGCCCAGGUAAGGUUCUUCGCGUUGCGUCGAAUUAAACCACAUGCUCCACCGCUUGUGCGGGCCCCCGUCAAUUCCUUUGAGUUUCAGCCUUGCGGCCGUACUCCCCAGGCGGGGCACUUAAUGCGUUAGCGCCGGCACCCAGGGGGUCGCUCCCCCAAGCACCUAGUGCCCAUCGUUUACGGCGUGGACUAC
rnacentral:misc_RNA from 1 species